GAUGAACGCUGGCGGCGUGCUUAACACAUGCAAGUCGAGCGAUGAAGUUUCCUUCGGGAAAUGGAUUAGCGGCGGACGGGUGAGUAACACGUGGGUAACCUGCCUCAUAGAGUGGAAUAGCCUUUCGAAAGGAAGAUUAAUACCGCAUAAUGUUGAAAGAUGGCAUCAUCAUUCAACCAAAGGAGCAAUCCGCUAUGAGAUGGACCCGCGGCGCAUUAGCUAGUUGGUGGGGUAACGGCCUACCAAGGCGACGAUGCGUAGCCGACCUGAGAGGGUGAUCGGCCACAUUGGGACUGAGACACGGCCCAGACUCCUACGGGAGGCAGCAGUGGGGAAUAUUGCACAAUGGGGGAAACCCUGAUGCAGCAACGCCGCGUGAGUGAUGAAGGUUUUCGGAUCGUAAAGCUCUUUUAGUAGGGAAGAAGCGAAAGUGACGGUACCUGCAGAAAAAGCACCGGCUAACUACGUGCCAGCCGCCGCGGUAACAC
rnacentral:rRNA from 1 species